rnacentral:rRNA from 1 species
GACGAACGCUGGCGGCGUGCUUAACACAUGCAAGUCGAACGGAAAGGCCCUGCUUUUGUGGCGUGCUCGAGUGGCGAACGGGUGAGUAACACGUGAGUAACCUGCCCCUGUCUUUGUGAUAACUCCUGGAAACUGGGGCUCAUAUCGCGUAGGAUCUCUUGCUGCACGUUGUGGGUUGGAAAGUUUCGGCGGUGGUGGCUGGUCUCGCUGGUUAUGCGCUUGUUUGUGGAGUAGUGGCUUUCAAAGGUUUUGAAGGCUAGGCGGCCUAGGAGGUGGACCGGCGACAAUGGGACUGAGAGACGGCCCAGACGGCUACGGGAGGCAGCAGUGGGGAAUAUUGCAGAAUGGGCGGAAGCCUGAUGCAGCAACGCCGCGUGCGGGAUGACGGGCUUCGGGUUGUAAACCGCUGUCGCAGGUGACGAAGCGGGAGUGACGGUAAUGGGUAAAGAAGCACCGGCUAACUACGUG